rnacentral:rRNA from 1 species
UACGGAGGAUGCAAGCGUUAUCCGGAAUGAUUGGGCGUAAAGCGUCCGCAGGUGGCUGUGUAAGUCUGCUGUUAAAGCGUGAGGCUCAACCUCAUAAAGGCAGUGGAAACUACACGGCUAGAGUGCGUUCGGGGCAGAGGGAAUUCCUGGUGUAGCGGUGAAAUGCGUAGAGAUCAGGAAGAACACCGGUGGCGAAAGCGCUCUGCUAGGCCGCAACUGACACUGAGGGACGAAAGCUAGGGGAGCGAAUGGG